rnacentral:rRNA from 1 species
AUUGAACGCUGGCGGCAUGCCUUACACAUGCAAGUCGAACGGCAGCACGGGUGCUUGCACCUGGUGGCGAGUGGCGAACGGGUGAGUAAUACAUCGGAACGUACCUUAUCGUGGGGGAUAACGCAGCGAAAGUUGCGCUAAUACCGCAUACGCCCUGAGGGGGAAAAGCGGGGGACCGUAAGGCCUCGCGCGAUUAGAGCGGCCGAUGUCUGAUUAGCUUGUUGGUGAGGUAAAAGCUCACCAAGGCGAUGAGCAGUAGCUGGUCUGAGAGGACGAUCAGCCACACUGGGACUGAGACACGGCCCAGACUCCUACGGGAGGCAGCAGUGGGGAAUUUUGGACAAUGGGGGCAACCCUGAUCCAGCAAUGCCGCGUGAGUGAAGAAGGCCUUCGGGUUGUAAAGCUCUUUUGUCAGGGAAGAAACAGCAGCUCUAACACAGUCUGCGAAUGACGGUACCUGAAGAAUAAGCACCGGCUAACUACGUGCCAGCAGCCGCGGUAA